rnacentral:piRNA from 1 species
UUGGCUAACGGAAAUGACUGAAUAGAGA